rnacentral:rRNA from 1 species
GUCUGAUGGAGCAUACCACGUGAACGAUGAAGGUCUUCUGAUUGUAAAGUUCUUUUAUUUAGGAAAAAAAGCGCGCUAGGAAAUGAGCGCGCCUUGAUGGUACUAAUUGAAUAAGUGACAGCUAACUAUGUGCCAGCAGCUGCGGUAAAACAUAGGUCACGAGCAUUAUCCGGAUUUAUUGGGCGUAAAGGAAGCGUAGGUGGGGAGGUUGAUCCAUUGUUAAAGGCAUUUGCUUAACAAAUGUGUGCGAUGGAGAUCGCCUUCCUAGAGUUAAUCAGGGGGUACUGGAAUUCAAUGUGUAGCGGUGGAAUGCGUAGAUAUAUUGAGGAACACCAGAGGCUAAGGCGAGUACCUAGGAUAUAACUGACACUGAGGCUUGAAAGCGUGGGGAGCAAAUGGGAUUAGAUACCCCAGUAGUCCACGCCGUAAACGAUGGGCAUUAGGUAUUUGACAUCUGGUCGAGUGCUGUAGCUAACGCGUUAAAUGCCCCGCCUGGGUAGUAUAUAUGCAAAUAUGAAACUCAAAGAAAUUGACGGGGACCUGAACAAGUGGUGGAGCAUGUUGCUUAAUUCGAUAAUACACGAAAAACCUUACCAAGGCUUGUAAUCUACUGCAAAGCUAUAGAAAUAUAGUGGAGGCAAUCAGUAAGACAGGUGGUGCAUGGCUGUCGUCAGCUCGUGUCUUGAGAUGUUUGGUUAAGUCCCGUAACGAGCGCAACCCUACUCUCUAGUUACCUAGUUCUAGAGUGACUGAAUCGUAAGAUAUAGGAAGGUUGGGGCCAAGUC